GGGAUCAUAGCUCAGUUGGUUAGAGCGCUACGUUGACAUCGUAGAGGUCGUAGGUUCAAGUCCUAUUGAUCCCACCA
rnacentral:tRNA from 1 species